AACGAACGCUGGCGGCAGGCCUAACACAUGCAAGUCGAACGCUGUAGCAAUACAGAGUGGCAGACGGGUGAGUAACGCGUGGGAACGUGCCUUUCGGUUCGGAAUAACUCAGGGAAACUUGAGCUAAUACCGGAUACGCCCUUCGGGGGAAAGAUUUAUUGCCGAAAGAUCGGCCCGCGUCCGAUUAGCUAGUUGGUGAGGUAAUGGCUCACCAAGGCGACGAUCGGUAGCUGGUCUGAGAGGAUGAUCAGCCACACUGGGACUGAGACACGGCCCAGACUCCUACGGGAGGCAGCAGUGGGGAAUAUUGGACAAUGGGCGCAAGCCUGAUCCAGCCAUGCCGCGUGAGUGAUGAAGGCCCUAGGGUUGUAAAGCUCUUUCGCCAGGGACGAUAAUGACGGUACCUGGAUAAGAAGCCCCGGCUAACUUCGUGCCAGCCGCCGCCGUAA
rnacentral:rRNA from 1 species